UACACACGGAUAACAUACCGAAAGGUAUGCUAAUACGGGAUAAUAUAUUUGAGAGGCAUCUCUUAAAUAUCAAAGGUGAGCCAGUACAGGAUGGACCCGCGUCUGAUUAGCUAGUUGGUAAGGUAACGGCUUACCAAGGCGACGAUCAGUAGCCGACCUGAGAGGGUGAUCGGCCACAUUGGAACUGAGACACGGUCCAAACUCCUACGGGAGGCAGCAGUGGGGAAUAUUGCACAAUGGGCGAAAGCCUGAUGCAGCAACGCCGCGUGAGUGAUGAAGGCCUUCGGGUCGUAAAACUCUGUCCUCAAGGAAGAUAAUGACGGUACUUGAGGAGGAAGCCCCGGCUAACUACGUGCCAGCAGCCGCGGUAAUACGUAGGGGGCUAGCGUUAUCCGGAUUUACUGGGCGUAAAGGGUGCGUAGGCGGUCUUUCAAGUCAGGAGUGAAAGGCUACGGCUCAACCGUAGUAAGCUCUUGAAACUGGGAGACUUGAGUGCAGGAGAGGAGAGUGGAAUUCCUAGUGUAGCGGUGAAAUGCGUAGAUAUUAGGAGGAACACCAGUUGCGGAGGCGGCUCUCUGGACUGUAACUGACGCUGAGGCACGAAAGCGUGGGGAGCAAACAGGAUUAGAUACCCUGGUAGUCCACGCUGUAAACGAUGAGUACUAGGUGUCGGGGGUUACCCCCUUCGGUGCCGCAGC
rnacentral:rRNA from 1 species